AGGCCUAACACAUGCAAGUCGAACGGCAGCACAGCAGUAGCAAUACUGUGGGUGGCGAGUGGCGGACGGGUGAGUAAUGCAUCGGGACCUGCCCAGACGUGGGGGAUAACGUAGGGAAACUUACGCUAAUACCGCAUACGUCCUACGGGAGAAAGCGGGGGAUCUUCGGACCUCGCGCGGUUGGAUGGACCGAUGUUCGAUUAGCUAGUUGGCGGGGUAAAGGCCCACCAAGGCGACGAUCGAUAGCUGGUCUGAGAGGAUGAUCAGCCACACUGGGACUGAGACACGGCCCAGACUCCUACGGGAGGCAGCAGUGGGGAAUAUUGGACAAUGGGCGCAAGCCUGAUCCAGCAAUGCCGCGUGUGUGAAGAAGGCCUUCGGGUUGUAAAGCACUUUUAUCAGGAGCGAAACGCUGCCGGCCAAUACCCGGCGGAACUGACGGUACCUGAGGAAUAAGCACCGGCUAACUUCGUGCCAGCAGCCGCGGUAAUACGAAGGGUGCAAGCGUUAAUCGGAAUUACUGGGCGUAAAGCGUGCGUAGGCGGUGACUUAAGUCUGCUGUGAAAUCCCCGGGCUCAACCUGGGAAUGGCAGUGGAUACUGGGUCGCUAGAGUGUGAUAGAGGAUGGUGGAAUUCCCGGUGUAGCGGUGAAAUGCGUAGAGAUCGGGAGGAACAUCAGUGGCGAAGGCGGCCAUCUGGAUCAACACUGACGCUGAGGCACGAAAGCGUGGGGAGCAAACAGGAUUAGAUACCCUGGUAGUCCACGCCCUAAACGAUGCGAACUGGAUGUUGGUCUCAACUCGGAGAUCAGUGUCGAAGCUAACGCGUUAAGUUCGCCGCCUGGGGAGUACGGUCGCAAGACUGAAACUCAAAAGGAAUUGACGGGGGGCCCGCACAAGCGGUGGAGUAUGUGGUUUUAAUUUGAUGCAACGCGGAAGAACCUUACCUUGGCCUUGACAUGUCCUG
rnacentral:rRNA from 1 species